GGGGAUUUAGCUCAGCAGUAUCAGCACCUGCCUUGCAAGCAGGUAGUGGUGGGUUCAAUUCCUG
rnacentral:tRNA from 1 species